AUUGAACGCUGGCGGCAGGCCUAACACAUGCAAGUCGAACGAGUGGCGGACGGGUGAGUAAUGUCUGGGAAACUGCCUGAUGGAGGGGGAUAACUACUGGAAACGGUAGCUAAUACCGCAUACCAUCGGAUGUGCCCAGAUGGGAUUAGCUAGUAGGUGGGGUAAAGGCUCACCUAGGCGCCGAUCCCUAGCUGGUCUGAGAGGAUGACCAGACACACUGGAACUGAGACACGGUCCAGACUCGUACGGGAGGCAGCAGUGGGGAAUAUUGCACAAUGGGCGCGAGCCGGAUGCAGCCAUGCCGCGUGUAUGAAGAAGGCCGUCGGGUUGUAAAGGACUUUCAGCGGGGAGGCGUUACCCGCAGAAGAAGCACCGGCUAACUCCGUGCCAGCCGCCGCGGUAAUAC
rnacentral:rRNA from 1 species